UGGGGAAUAUUGCACAAUGGGCGCAAGCCUGAUGCAGCCAUGCCGCGUGUGUGAAGAAGGCCUUAGGGUUGUAAAGCACUUUCAGCGAGGAGGAAGGGUGCAGUGUUAAUAGCACUGUGCAUUGACGUUACUCGCAGAAGAAGCACCGGCUAACUCCGUG
rnacentral:rRNA from 1 species